CCUCAAAUGAUUUGACUUCGGCCGCGAGCCGUAUGGGAAGUAGACUGAGCUCUCUCAGCCGAAAGGAGCAGAAGUUGUGUGCAACCAGGCUGAAGACAUCGGUGAGACGGGUCUGUCCGCACCACAGGACCAAGGUGUUUCACAAGGAAACAUUGCAACGGCUUAUUGAAAGGACACUUUGGGCCCGAGAGCGCUAGGCCCGUGAUGUUACGUGGAAUUCCCUUCUGUGUCCGACUGAUAAGGACGCGUGCUGCGCUCCCGACAGUUCAGCGUAACCAAACCCAGACAAAUAUAGUAAACAUCCAAACUCAGGACAGGAACACACGCAGGAGACGCACAUACGUAGGAGAAGCUCUAAGGGACAUCCUUCAUCAGAGCCUAGCCCCUUGGUAUUGUAUGGACCAUCCUACAAUCCCUUUCAUUGCUACCUUAAGCUGGAAGCCCGGUCCCGUUCAGAGGGGCACAAAGGCCAUGACACUCACUUGUGCCUCACCAGGCGGGGAAGAGAUGAACUGCCUCAUUCCCUCAGUACCCGUGGACUCUAGAGUGGAUGCUGUUUUGCUGGGCUGAGAAAGCAGAUGAAAAGACAGAAGCAUUUGCACAGCGGAAGCAACUGCCAAAUGGUUUUAAGGAGCCAAUAGCCCUCCUCAGACUGCAGGCUACAGGAACUUGACAGGCACAAAGCUGCCUUGGCUGGGUUGUAAUCAGUUCUGGCUCAUCAAUGGCUGGGGGAAACCAGGCAGCACUUUGAGCCCCUGCCCCAGAGGAAGCCAGACCGAAAAGCCAUCUCAGUUGCCAACUGUUGUGAAUAAAUUGCUAGUCUCAAGGGCUGAAGUGCUUUAUUGGUGCUGGGGCAGGUUAAUAAAUGGGAUCACAUGCCAGCAAUGCCAACCUGCCAAGGGACAUGAUUGUAGUCUUCAAAUAUCUAAAGGGCUGCCAUAAAGGAGAGAAUCCCCUUUUUACCGUAGCUGCAAGGAGCAGGAUGCAGAUGAAUGGCUUGAAGUUGCAGCAAAGCAGGUUUAGAUUUGAUGAGGAACAGCAUCAUUGUUAGAGCAGCGAGGCUGUGGAAUAGACACCCAGGGAAGUGGUGGACUCGCCGUCACUGGAGGUGCUCGGGAGGAGGUUGGGCAGCCCCUGGUCAGGGAUGAUCUAGGAGUAGCUGUGCCUAUGCUAUGCUACAGGUAUUUCACAGGCUUCUGGGCUGUGCUGGUUGCCACCUGAGGCAAGGAGGAAUUUCCCCCCCUCCUGCUACUGUGUUGGAGGUUUGAAAGGUGUUUUUGCCUUUCUUAGGGGCAUUGGGUGUUGGCUGCAGCCAAGACUAAGGAUUUUGACUGGGUUGUGCCAGUGUCCUUCUGGGACUAAAACCCAGAGGUUCACGGCUAGAGGGUCUUGCCCCUCUGCUCAGGGUCAGACCUAGCACCAUAAGAAAUAGCAUAAAAGCAUAACAACUGCCAUUGACUGGGUCAGAUCAUAGAUCCAUCCUUCCCAGUCUCCUGUGUCACACAGGGGCACAAAACAGAUGCUGAAAGGGAGAGUGAACAGAGCAGGGCUGGCCUUACGGGUGGGCAACGUGGGUGACUGCCCAUGGCCCCGUGGUCAAGGGGCCACCAUGGUUAAGAGGGUGUUAAAGGAAAAAAAUCCUAAAUAAAUCACGAUGUAACACAGGGCGACACAUUUCUUGUAACUAAGAAGUUCUCUGUUUUUGUUGGUUAUUUCCUAAAACUUGGAAGGAAACAAAAUGUUGCAAGUACUUAAGAUGUCAGGGAUGUACAGCAGGAAAUGAAAAGCUGAGUUAAUGUCUGCAAUUAAAACAGAUGCAGCUGUAAUGAAAAAAUACCUGUAACGGGUUAACAACCUUGGAUGAAUAUCUGGCUGGGGUGUUAUGAUCCCAGCACUGGUUCCUGCCCAGGGCAGGGGGUCGGACUUGAUCUGUUCAGGUCCCUUCGGACCCUAGAAACUACGAAACAACAACCCAUGCAGUAGUAGCGAGACAGUCACAGAGGAGACAUCAGAUGAAAACCGCAUAGAUGAUCCAGUUCCACUUCUGAGAAUCGUAUUUGCAAUCGACCGUGGGAGACGACAGGCUGUCUUCACAGGCCAUCCUGUCUGCCGAGAAAGCUGUGGCUCAAGUGUAGACGUGUCACAAGCAGCAUCAGAGUUUGAAACAGUGAGGACGCGCAGCGUCGCCUCCCGAGUCCUGGAGUAUUUGAAGAACAGUGUUUUUUAUUUGUUACUGUUAUUUCUUAGUUCA